UAAGAAUAGAAGAGUAGUCAUACUGGAGGGCCAGUCCUGCUAAAUUUUAUCCUCAUAUUUUUUUAAUUCUAUAAAGUGCAAUUUUGAAGAAACAUAUAAUAAUUCAACUGGAGUUAAAUAGAAAUGUAAAUUUGACGGAACCAAUAUAUGUACAUAACUCUGCUCUGGAUCGGUUAUCUAAAUUUAGCAGGAAAUACUUUCCCUCAGAUGCUCCAAAAUGACUGACAAGGUAUUUAUGCAUACUCCCUAACCUUUCGCUAGUUUCUAAAGGAAAUCGAGUCGUCGCAGUCAUCAUCUUCUGGCCGUGCUAUUCAGCUCGUCUCAUUCAGUUAAGAAAAUGUAAAUUGGCCUGCCAUUACGGCAGACAAAUAUUUUCAUAUGUACUCUGACUGUGCGGCAUGAAUAUUUACAAUUUAUUUAUCAUUUAAUUUUAUUUAACAUGUAAAAAUAUAUACUUCGAAGCUUGUUCUGUACCAUUACUCUGAUUUUAUAUGUAUGUAUAUGUGGCUAAGUUUGCACUUCAUGAUUAUUUCCUUAUCCGUCAUAGAUUCCUAUGGCGUCGCAAAUCUGUGAGAGAAUCAUCUUAAUUUCAUGGCGUAUUGGCAAAGCUUAUCGUAUUAAGUAGUAAUCUAAUAGUUAGUAAGUAUGACACUUGAUUUACAAAUUUAUCACACCAUGCUUUCAAAUAUGAUAUCACUAGUUUUUCCGUGAUAGAAAUUGUGCUGGUUGCAGCGUGAUUUGUUGAAUCAAUUAAAAUUUAAAAAAUAUAUAUUUGCUUAUCACUGGCUUGAAUUCUACGUUUGGAAUGAGAAAAUAACUAUUUACGAGAUGAUCAACUUUUUGGUUGCAUGUCAAGUACGCAUACAUAAUUACGUAUAUGUACGCCGUUUAAAUAAUACCUAAGGAAUAGUAAGUAAAAUUGUGUAAAAAAUUUUCAUUGUAAACUCUUUCAUCAUUGACUUUAUCUAUAUUUACAAUACGUACUAUAGUACACCUAGACUACUUUGAACAAUGACAUAAUUGUCUGAAUAUUUUAGCCUUCCUAAUUUACAAAUUCGUGGUAAUUUCUAUUUUCCACCGCCUUGUGUAUUUCAGCUAACACGAGGUCAUGAUUCAAAGAAUGAAGGUUUUUAGAAAUCUCAAUGAUCUUGAGAUUGUUAUUUUGCAAGUUUUUUGUAAAAUUAUUUUGUAUGCUUUGAACCCGUUCUAAUUUGAUUCAUUGAUUCACUGAUAAAGAUUUAUUAGACCCUCUCGGGCCAUAGAGUACAACAGAAUUAAUAAUUCUGAAGAAAAUAAUCUAUUAAGCUUAAGUCAUUUGAGUCCGAAGAGAAGAUUUUCGUGAAGCAAGUGAGACUUAAUAUUAAUCAUAUUCAGAUUAACCAGAGCCUAAGAUAUAUGUAUAUAUAUUUAGAUAAUUUCUUAAAUAGACACCGAAUGAUAAUUGUAGCACUGACAUAUUUUGCAUAAAAUGUAAUACACAUUAUGCACUAAGCUCAGACACGAAAAUAUCUCUUUGAAAUUUGCAAAUGAGAAAAAUAUAUCUUAGGACAAAACACGACAAUUAAAUCACGUAAUUUUCCAGAUUUUUGAAGCGAUACUAUUAAUUUACAAUUAGUUGGCAUGAACAACAUUUACGUUCUGCCUGGUUGCUUCUUCCUUAUUAAUAAGACACAUGGCAAAGGAAUGCAUUAUUGCUUGAUAAGCCAAAAUCAUGGAAAUAAAAACAACUGCGUACAACA